AACGUAGGAGACAAACGUUAUCCGGAGUUACUGGGCGUAAAGGGCGUGUAGGUGGUUUUGUAAGUCUGGCGUGAAAUUUUUCGGCUUAACCGGGGAACUGCGUCUGAUACUGGAUGGCUUGAGCUUGGGAGAGGGAUGCGGAAUUCCAGGUGUAGCGGUGAAAUGCGUAGAUAUCUGGAGGAACACCGGUGGCGAAGGCGGCAUCCUGGACCAAUACUGACACUGAAAAGCGAAAGCCAGGGGAGCAAACGGG
rnacentral:rRNA from 1 species